AUUGAACGCUGGCGGCAUGCCUUACACAUGCAAGUCGAACGGCAGCACGGGUGCUUGCACCUGGUGGCGAGUGGCGAACGGGUGAGUAAUACAUCGGAACGCACCUUAUCGUGGGGGAUAACGCAGCGAAAGCUGUGCUAAUACCGCAUACGCUCUGAGGGGGAAAGCGGGGGAUCGCAAGACCUCGCGCGAUUAGAGCGGCCGAUGACUGAUUAGCUUGUUGGUGGGGUAAAAGCCCACCAAGGCGACGAUCAGUAGCUGGUCUGAGAGGACGAUCAGCCACCAUGGGCAUGAGACACGGCCCAGACUCCCACGGGAGGGAGCAGUGGGAAUUUUGGACAAAGGGGGCAACCCUGAUCCAGCAAUGCCGCGUGAGUGAAGAAGGCCUGCGGGUUGUAAAGCUCUUUUGUCAGGGAAGAAACACCGGCUCUAACACAGUCUGGGAAUGACGGUACCUGAAGAAUAAGCACCGGCUAACUACGUGCCAGCCGCCGCAGUAA
rnacentral:rRNA from 1 species